rnacentral:rRNA from 1 species
UAAGCGGAGGAAAAGAAACUAACGAGGAUUCCCCUAGUAACUGCGAGUGAAGCGGGAAAAGCUCAAAUUUAAAAUCUGGCGGUCCUUGGGCCGUCCGAGUUGUAGUCUGGAGAAGCGUCUUCCGUGCCGGACCGUGUACAAGUCCCUUGGAACAGGGCGUCAUAGAGGGUGAGAAUCCCGUCCAUGACACGGAUCGCCGGUGCUCUGUGAUGCGCUCUCGAAGAGUCGAGUUGUUUGGGAAUGCAGCUCAAAAUGGGUGGUAAAUUCCAUCUAAAGCUAAAUAUUGGCGAGAGACCGAUAGCGAACAAGUACCGUGAGGGAAAGAUGAAAAGCACUUUGGAAAGAGAGUUAAACAGUACGUGAAAUUGCUGAAAGGGAAACGCUUGAAGUCAGUCGCGUCGGCCGGGACUCAGCCUUGCCUUCUUGGCUUGGUGCACUUUCCGGUCGACGGGCCAGCAUCGAUUUUGAUCGUCGGAAAAAGGCUGGGGGAAUGUGGCACCUCCGGGUGUGUUAUAGCCCUCGGUUGCAUACGGUGGUCGGGAUCGAGGAACUCAGCACGCCUUUACUGGCCGGGGCUUGCCCACGUACCGUGCUUAGGAUGCUGGCGUAAUGGCUUUAAACGACCCGUCUUGAAACACGGACCAAGGAGUCUAACAUGCCUGCGAGUGUUUGGGUGGAAAACCCGAGCGCGCAAUGAAAGUGAAAGUUGAGAUCUCUGUCGUGGAGAGCAUCGACGCCCGGACCUGACCUUCUGUGACGGAUCCGCGGUAGAGCAUGCAUGUUGGGACCCGAAAGAUGGUGAACUAUGCCUGAAUAGGGUGAAGCCAGAGGAAACUCUGGUGGAGGCUCGUAGCGAUUCUGACGUGCAAAUCGAUCGUCAAAUUUGGGUAUAGGGGGCGAAAGACUAAUCGAACCAUCU